CCUACGGGAGGCUGCAGUGAGGAAUAUUGGUCAAUGGACGAGAGUCUGAACCAGCCAAGUAGCGUGAAGGAUGACUGCCCUAUGGGUUGUAAACUUCUUUUAUAUGGGAAUAAAACGUUCCACGUGUGGGAUUUUGUAUGUACCAUAUGAAUAAGGAUCGGCUAACUCCGUGCCAGCAGCCGCGGUAAUACGGGGGAUCCGAUCGUUAUCCGGAUUUAUUGGGUUUAAAGGGCGCGUAGGUGGAUUGUUAAGUCAGUUGUGAAAGUUUGCGGCUCAACCGGAAAAUUGCAGUUGAAACUGGCAGUCUUGAGUACAGUAGAGGUGGGCAGAAUUCGUGGUGUAGCGGUGAAAUGCUUAGAUAUCACGAAGAACUCCGAUUGCGAAGGCAGUUCACUGGACUGCAACUGACACUGAGGCUCGAAAGUGUGGGUAUCAAACAGGAUUAGAUACCCGGGUAGUC
rnacentral:rRNA from 1 species